GGAAUAUUGGUCAAUGGAGGCAACUCUGAACCAGCCAUGCCGCGUGCAGGAAGACGGUCCUAUGGAUUGUAAACUGCUUUUAUACAGGAAUAAACCUAUCCUCGUGAGGAUAGCUGAAGGUACUGUAGGAAUAAGGAUCGGCUAACUCCGUGCCAGCAGCCGCGGUAAUACGGAGGAUCCAAGCGUUAUCCGGAAUCAUUGGGUUUAAAGGGUUCGUAGGCGGUUUAAUAAGUCAGUGGUGAAAUCUCCUAGCUUAACUAGGAAAUGGCCAUUGAUACUGUUAGACUUGAAUUAUUGGGAAGUAACUAGAAUAUGUAGUGUAGCGGUGAAAUGCUUAGAUAUUAUAUGGAAUACCAAUUGCGAAGGCAGGUUACUAUCAAUACAUUGACGCUGAUGAACGAAAGCGUGGGUAGCGAACAGGAUUAGAUACCCGAG
rnacentral:rRNA from 1 species